rnacentral:tmRNA from 2 species
CAUCUUUUUUCAUCCGGGAUUGAGGAUUAUAUUGGGGUCGCCGGUUCGCCGGCUAUGGAAAUAAAUGGCCGCCGUAAUAAACCAUUCGGACCCGGGGGCAGUACCCGGCGCCUCCACCAGAGCCCGACCCGGCUUUCGUUCUUUAAAACUGCGGGUUCCGGCGGGGGCGAAACAGGAUCGACGAGGGCGUAAAGGGCUCGCUUUUUCCCGGUAUGGUUCCGCCGUUAUCGGGCUAUGCAAUAGUUGCAAACGACAACUAUGCUCCGGUUGCUCAGGCUGCGUAACGCGGUUUGAAAGACCACUCUGAAGUCCUGAUGGGUUAAGCUCCGUCAGGCGGGGUUCGGAGGCACCUGGCAACAGAAGCCUCCACU